UGGUGGCGGGUCGCUGGUGGGCUGCGGCGCAUUGUCGAUGCGCAGGUGCGCCGUUCGGGUCGGAGGCCGUCGC
rnacentral:tRNA from 1 species